ACAGGAGUUUGUUUUUUUUUCGGGCGGUCGCGAUUUCAAAACGUUUACGCGGAUCGCUUGCGUUUUCGGAACAUUUGCAUUCCGUUUUCACCUGGUGGUUCCUUCAUCAAAUGAAACGGACGGCUUCUGUGCUGAAUGGUGGUUUUAGGUGUUCCCGAGGAAUUAUAUUUCCCGAGUAUUGUUUGACCUUGCUGCUCCGGAGCUGCUGCUGUCUAUCGUUGCCGCCCCCGACUCCACUUGCCCAUCUGGCUUGACCACCCCCAAGGCCACUCGUCCGUGGCCUUAGAGGAAGAAGCGGAACGGCCUAUAAGAUUUCCAAGGCAAAAAACUGUAGGGUUUCCGCAAAUCAACCAGCUUCUUAAGAUUAUUCAAUCUGGAUGGUCACACCGUAGGUCAAGCACCCUUUUCUUCCCCAUCUGGUUGGUAGAAACCUGUUUGGAAUGGCUGCACCGACAAAACAAAACCCUUAAUUAAUUAAGUGCAAAGUGGGCUGCAGAUUAUCCGGAAAAUAGGGAAGAAGCCGUUCUGGAUUCGUGUUGCAUUCCGUCAUCUUUUUUUCUGCCCCUGCUAGUGGAUAUCUGUUUAAAAAUCACACUUAUGUUAUGCCGAUAUCGAUUGUCAUUUGGCCCCACUGUCUCUCUGAUCCAGAUUCAGACCGCUUUCAGUCUGCCGGGGGGGCAUAAAAAUGACAGUUUUCGUUGCGUCGCUAGAGGUGGAAAAUCGUUGCCGGAAAGACUGUUUCUUCGUGUUUGCCAAAAAAAAAGAGCUCAAGAUUUUCAAAAUUCAUACAUCUUUUGGAAGAGCUACUAAUGAUAUGCGGGCAAACAUUGUACAUCGUAAUGGAAUCAUGUGGAUAUCAGCCGGUGCAUGUCUCAAGCACCGAGGAAAUUAUGGAGAGAGAUUCGUUUUUGGUAGCAUAAGGAGAAAAAGAUUCCGGAAGACGCGAUUCAUGGAUGGCUCAUAUAUCAAUAUUUUCGGUAUCCAUGGAACGCCUUCAUGUUUCGGAAAACACCAGCGGGAUUAUGCAUCCUUCAGACGGUUGCGUUGUUGUGGUUGCUGUAGAUCAAGGACAACGCCUUGUAAUUACCCCUCACCUAAGCG